UCUUCACACCAGGGCGCAAAGCUGAGCGCCAGAGAGAAGCCGCCCAGAAGCAGCAGGCAGCUGCCUAGGUAGCCCAGCACCAGGCUGUAGCUGACCUGCACCGUGACCGGCGAGCUCGGGGCGGCCAGGACGUCGGGAUCUGACAAGAAGUGGUUAUACCAGGAGACCGGGAUGAGGCUGAAGAGGCCAGCGACGAAAAACACCACGCCAGAGAGGCCCGCUAGCCCGUAGUGGGGCUCAUCUUGCCAACAGCGCACACCGAGGGAAGCCAGCAGCAGCCCUAGGGCGGUAGUGGCCAGUGACGUGAUCAUGAGUCCCCGGGCCACCUGCACAGGCUGGGUCUGGAAGUAGUUCCACUCGUCGGGCUGGCCGCACUCGCGUUCGCGACUGCUCUGCUCGCGACAUAUGUCCCACAGCCCCUGGUACAGCACCACGUCCACUGGCUGGUCCAGAAAGCCCUUCACCAGCCGCCAGCCCGGGGCCAGUGUACUGACAAGAUUAAGCAGCAACCCGCAGGGCGUGAGCACCAUGCCCAGCGUCAUCACCACCGGCGUCCGCAUCCUGCGUAGCCUCUUGGGUCCCUAGCAGCUGUGGCUGCUCCGCUGCGCACCCUGUCCUCGAAUCUGCGAGGUUGCCGGGCUGGGUAGCAGCGAUGCUCGCUGCGCUCUCUGGGCGCUCUUUGUCUCUCGCGCGGAACUGUCCCCACUGAGCCUCUCACACCAAGUCCCCUCCUCUCUCGCGUCCCAACCGCUCCGCCCUCUCGCCCAGCCGCUGUCCCUAAUCGAAACCAGCUCCGAGUCCGGUCAGACCGAAACCGCGCGCCCAGGUGCGGCCCCCAAGGCCAAACCCUACCGGGUGGGAGGGGCGGGAGCGCCAGGGCCACUUGGCAAGGAGGCGACCUCGGACUCUGAGGACCCGGACACCCCACCCUAGCCCAGCCGCUCCUCCUAGCCCGGCCACUCCUCCCAGCCCGCCCGGAUGGUUUAGGGCUCGAGCAAAGGUCGCCCCGCCCUCGCUCUCUCGCACUGCCUGCGCGCUUGUAGGCGGGACAAAGGGGGCGGGCCGCUAGUGUCGUCUCACCUGUCGCCUAGCUACACCUUCCCCUCUUCCCUUUCCUUCUCAGGUCCGGUCAGAAAGCAAAGCGUCCCUACACUGCCUCCAAUUCUCCCCAACUCUGCCCGUGGGCCCUGCCAACACAAGUCUCUUUUCACUCCCAGCUGGUGACCAGCAUCCCUCGAAAGUUUUGCGCUGCCAUCUGCAGCCACGUAGGGCACAGUGGUGCGCUCAGGAUGCACGGGACCUGUGUGCACCACGGUUUCCAGGCUCAGGGUGUAUCCAAACAGUUGCAUUAUGGAAACUUUGCUAGACUUGCUUAAUAAAGUCUCCACGCUCUGCCUGAAGUUUAACUCAUAUGAAAGGGAGAGUAUUUCUGGGUUGAAGAGUUGCGAAAGAGUUUUCUCUUCAGUCUUGUAAAGUCCUGCAGUGACUUAUGUGUGUGUGUUGGGGGGUGGGGGUGGCACCCUUCUCAGAGGAGAAUGAGGGAAGGAACUAAAUGGGGGUACUGGGAGGAGAAGGGGAGCUGUUUGGGAUGUAAAGUGAAUACAUUUAAAAAUUAAUAACAAACCGUUUUUUUUUCAAGUGGAUAAGAGGCUGACUCGAUUUUCCCGUUCAGAACUUGGCGGGCCUAUGAUGUAUUGGAGAAACCCAGAGGUUCUGCGAGGAUGGAAUAUAAUUGGUUAUUAUCCAAAGAAUGUCAAUUAGCUUUUUUUAUUUUCAUGGAAAAGGGCAAAUUUGUAACCAAUGAAAUAUAAUUAGAAGGAGCACGAUAUUCACCUUGAUUGGUUAAAAACGACAGCUUGAAAAUCUGCAUCGGCAAAGGCAGGAGCCAGUGAUCCCUGAUGUCACUGGUUUAGUGUGCAGCCUUUAAUUAGCCAAUUUGACAGAAUACAAUGUUUACAAUCCACGUGCUUAGGUUUCUUUUUUAAAAGGUUUUUAUAAUGAGCGUAUAAUUACCCACAAUAACGUAAUAUGUUUUGCUCAUUGAAUACCACCUACUUUGGCACUGCCUGUCAAACUCAUCUUAACAUUCCUGUUGGUCUAGGUAUGAGCUGUUCACAUUCUCCUUAAAUACCUUUACAUAUUUAGAACAUAUUCACUUUAUAUUGGGCGAGAGUCAUGCUUUUCCUUGAAAAAUGCUUUCUUAACAUAUUUUUCUCUGUUCUAUAUAUUUCUUACAAUGGAAAUGUAUUUUUUAUAUAAUUUGCUGUAAUUAAAACUAUUUAC
rnacentral:lncRNA from 1 species